UAAUAAGUGUUUUAUGGCACUUUGUUAAAUCCAUAUCCACCUUGUGUGCAAUGUCAGCAGGUCGGUUUCUUUUCGUCAAGAAAAAAGGAUCGACCAAACAUCAUACCCUUUAUCAUUCUAAUUGACUUUGUCUGAAUAACUAUUAUGAAUAAACAGAUUCAAAUA
rnacentral:misc_RNA from 1 species